rnacentral:rRNA from 1 species
AUUCCAGCUCCAAUAGCGUAUAUUAAAGUUGUUGCGGUUAAAAAGCUCGUAGUUGGAGUUCUGCCAGGUGACGCUCGUCCGCCCAAGUGGUGUGUACAGGGCGUGCAUCUGGCCCUUUCAAGGGGAACGUGUCUGCUCUUUAUUGAGUGGUGCGAGAUCCUUGACUUUUACUUUGAGGAAAUCAGAGUGUUCCAAGCAGGCUCUCGUCGUGUAUAGCUCAGCAUGGAAUAAUAGCAUUGGACUUCGUUUCUAAGCUGUUGGUUGCAAGAAGCGAGGUAACGAUUAAUAGGGACAGUUGGGGGUAUCCGUAUUUCGUAGUCAGAGGUGAAAUUCUUGGAUUUACGAAAGACGAACUACUGCGAAAGCAUUUACCAAGGAUGUUUUCAUUG